rnacentral:lncRNA from 1 species
UAUGCGUGGAAGCAAUGCUAAAUAGCUAGCGCGUGUAGAAAUCGUAGGCGUGUACUCAUGAAUUUCGUAUAGAAAUGUGUAGGAAUAAAGUAGAUCGUAAUCCAAGAAAGCGAGGAAAAAUUAGGUGUUUGAUUUUGAAACUCAAGAGGGCCAUUCCUUGUCAAUUAUCGCGUAAAGAAUAGUGGUACAGACUAUUGUCGAGUCGAAUACAAGCAUCUAAUUGGGAAAAGAUGACGAGCAGUAGAAUCGUCUUCUCCGGUUGCUUCGAUUCGGUGUGGAUUCCUAUCAGAGCCGCAGGUCCGUGCACAGGUCGACGUGGUCCCGGUCCAGCGGCGGCGGGAGGUUGAGGUCGAACGCCGCCACGCGGGACCGAACGGUGGAGGCGUCGUCGGCGUCGU